rfam:Bombyx mori DNA, contig: Bm_scaf21181_contig66391, strain: p50T/Dazao, build 2, whole genome shotgun sequence.
CCAGUCGUAGCCGAUGUUCCACAGCAGGGGCCCCAGAACAGACCCCUGCGGAACACCGCGCUCGACGGG